rnacentral:rRNA from 1 species
UAAUACGGAGGGAGCUAGCGUUGUUCGGAAUUACUGGGCGUAAAGCGUACGUAGGCGGAUUGGUAAGUUGGGGGUGAAAUCCCGGGGCUCAACCCCGGAACUGCCCUCAAAACUGCCAGUCUAGAGACCGGGAGAGGUAAGCGGAAUUCCUAGUGUAGAGGUGGAAUUCGUAGAUAUUAGGAGGAACACCAGUGGCGAAGGCGGCUUACUGGACCGGUACUGACGCUAAGGUACGAAAGCGUGGGGAGCAAACAGGAUUAGAUACCCUGGUAGUCCACGCCGCAAACGAUGGGUGCUAGAUGUUGGGGCUUUAAGCUUCAGUGUCGCAGCUAACGCAUUAAGCACCCCGCCUGGGGAGUACGGUCGCAAGAUUA